AGUUUUGCUGGAGUGGACUCUAAGAAGUUCAUUCAGAUGGUCGAACAUAAGAAGAAGAGAAUCCUCGAGAAGAAAGAAGGCCCACUGAAAUGGCAGCAAAAACAUUAUGAAUAUGCGACCAACAUCUCAUGGAUCCGCUCAUGCAUUAUCACACACCACCACGGAUUAAAAGCAAGAGUAUGGAUAUUUGACAAUGUGAGAGAUAUCCAAGCCAGAGGCUAAAAGGUGUUGUGAGCCCGCAACAGCAAAAAGGAGCAUGGAGUGAUCGGUGGCGCCCCAGACAAAGUGGUGUAGAACCAAGAAGAAUGAUCAAGGGUGAACACAUGUCUAGCGUGUUCUUAAAGGUGUUUCAUUUUCCAAGACAAAUUUAGAUGGUUAUAUAUUUU